UCCUACAACAAAGUGUGGGAUGCUUUGAGGUGGGGUUGUUUUUGAAGUUAUCAAAAGGGAUUAACAAAUAACAUUACUUAUCUUUAUAAACCUGGUGUACAGCAUGUUUCUUAGUCUUUCUCCAUGAUUAUUUUCUUAGAAGAAGAGGUGAUCUCCAUGAAAUGGGCAGCAUUUCACUGCACAAUUUCCUUGCUGUUGUAAUCUGUUUUUUAUUUCCAGUGAAGGAAAAGGCAUUUUAAUGAGAAUGGAGGAGGUGGGAGGGGAGCAAACCACUGGGUUUGCCUUCCCCCCCCAGCAGCAUCAAUUCAGCUGUUGCACACUUUUUUUUUUUGUUUAUCUUCAGUUGGCAGUCCAGUUCCUUUUCACACCAAAGAAUCCACCAGUCGAAAGUCCUUCUCCAAAGGGCAGCCCUCAGUGGGUUGCAUUAACCCUUUGGAUUCCACUAGCCCGAAAGUAAAGCGGGGAAAAGAGAGAGAACUCUCAAAGUUGAAGCGUCCUACAGCACUGAAAAAGGUUAUUUUGAAAGAGAGAGAAGAAAAGAAAGGACGGUUAACAACAGAUCACAGCCUUUUGGGAGGUGAUGAAGAGCAAGAGGUGACUCUGACUUCUAACCAGGCAGAAGAACUAACAUCUCAAGAAGAAACUGGUUUGAGCGUGCCGAGUGACACCUCCCUCUCUCCAGCAAGCCAGAAUUCUCCCUACUGCAUGACUCCUGUCUCCCAAGGUUCCCCUGCAAGUUCAGGGAUAGGAAGCCCCAUGGCAUCGUCAACUAUAACCAAAAUCCACAGCAAAAGAUUCAG